CCUACGCGAGGCAGCAGUGAGGAAUAUUGGUCAAUGGGCGCAAGCCUGAACCAGCCAAGUCGCGUGAGGGAUGACGGUCCUAUGGAUUGUAAACCUCUUUUGUCGGGGAGCAAGGCCCGCCACGUGUGGCGGGAAGGAGAGUACCCGAAGAAAAAGCAUCGGCUAACUCCGUGCCAGCAGCCGCGGUAAUACGGAGGAUGCGAGCGUUAUCCGGAUUUAUUGGGUUUAAAGGGUGCGUAGGCGGAAGGUUAAGUCAGCGGUCAAAUGUCGGUGCUCAACACCGGCCUGCCGUUGAAACUGGUCGUCUUGAGUGAGCGAGAAGUAUGCGGAAUGCGUGGUGUAGCGGUGAAAUGCAUAGAUAUCACGCAGAACUCCGAUUGCGAAGGCAGCAUACCGGCGCUCAACUGACGCUGAGGCACGAAAGCGUGGGGAUCGAACAGGAUUAGAUACCCUGGUAGUC
rnacentral:rRNA from 1 species